ensembl:lncRNA
CUUAGAUUCUGUUUGUUCACAUAAGAAUAAUAGUUAGUAAUUUAAAUACGAUCCUAUAAGAGUAUACUUUAGAGAUAGAUCUCUUUCUAUUAAGCAGGAUAUUGCGACAGUCCCUCUUAGAUCACUUUAAUAUCAGCUUAAACUUGUCUUCUUUUAAUUACAGCUUAGAAGAUUAUAUCCACUAAGUUUAUUUAGCCAGGAAUACUGAUCCCAGAAGGACACGGAUGCCCAAACAAGGAAGAGCUCCCGCUGUGACGCCCGUACUUUGCUGAAAGUGGAGGUGCUUUGCCAUGAAAGUGUUCUCCAUUUGCCACCACUGCUCUUGUGUAAGAGGUGAAAAAGCCCCUGCUGCUCUGAGACUGCAGCUGGGCAGGGGAGGAACGAUGCUGUGAAAGAAAACUCGUGAGCGAUGAUAGAAUGGAGAAACUCACCUUGAACUGCAUUGCUAGGGUGUGUCUCUUGGAAUACAGCCACACUGGAAAGGAACCUGAAAGCUCCGAUGUUUUGCCUAUUAGAAACAAUAAUGUUUGUACGUUGUAUAUUUGUUUUGGUAUCUCAAAAGCAAGCCCUACAGACUUCCUGAAAUUGUCUGUACCAAUACAGCACAGAAAAGGAGCAACCCCUGAGACAAGCUUGUGAUAAGCAGGAGUUUCCUGUGAUCCCCACGGGCUGUUCCGUUCUCGGAUAGGUAUUUCCCAGAGUGACCUACUUACAGGGAACUGCACGUGGCGCUGUGCUGACACACCAAUGACCCCCAGCAGGCCACGAAUAAUCCAGCGACCUUCGUGUGGUGAU